UUGGAUUACAAUUGAUUUUAUUUCUCACUUCCAAAGAUGUCGCUAUCAGGCUAGACUGCAACUGUUAGGCAGCUAUCAAGUCUCAGUAUAUGACAUAAAUUGGCAGAAUGUUAGUACCAACGCUAUCAGUGCAUUGAAGUCGAGUUCUCGAUACAGGGAGCUGCUGGUAAACUACCGUCGCUAAACAUGGACUAUGACUACUGUCUACAAUCCUACUCUUUUAACAAACUACAUACAUAUAUUGAGAGGACUACUUCAUCACAAGCAAACAAAUUUCCAUCGGUAAAUAAGGUAGGUUCAUUGAACUGACUUAUAAAAUAUAGGCACAUUUUCCGAUAAUACAAUUUUAAUCAUUCUGGGCAUGUUACGGUACCUAUAUUAUCAUAGUAUAUUAAUACAAGUAGUAUAUUAAUACAAGUAUUUCUUCAGGUCUGUCUUCUAUAACCGCGAUAAAAAGAAAAGAAGGGCGAAAACAUUUGAGACUACAGAACUGGAAUAGUCUUAAUUUGAAUACAGUGACUGCUGAGCUGUAUCAAAUCUAUUAGCAUUAUUGCAACUUCGAUCAGGAACAUAAUUUAAAAACUAUGGCAACGGAAUUCAGCCGAUGUCAGAGUAAAAGCCAGCCGAAGUCCCGGGGUUGUGAAGUUGGCAUAAAGGGUAGGCAGCGGCAGCUCUCCUAGCAUCCCCCAGCUUUUCUGGGGUCCUAAAUUUCUCAAUCAGGCUAGUUAUUGAAUAUAUUCCAUUUUAGAUUCACAUUUUACCUUAUAACUUUAUAUUUUUAUCAUUGAUCCCUUCUCUCCCUCUGAUCUUUAUUGGUACUUAAUUUACCCGCAGACAAGUUUUACUCCCCUCUGCCCGUCUCUAUUUUCAGGCCAUUUUACGGGGAGUAUCUGAUGACUGCUGCUUAGUACCCUGAUUGCCAUCCUGAUCAUUUGGUGUAACUUUGUCCAUUGAUGCAAGCUAACCCAACCCCACUUCUACCUACCUUCAUCACUGAAUUUCUUCUCAGUGCCUCUCAAGAGCAGGAAAAUCACAUUCUCUCCCUCAUUAAUGACAAUGAAGAAGACUUCAAAGAUGCCAUCGAAAUCCUUCUGGAAGAUCAUCCGACAGAACCCCUUAUCACUCCCUCUUCAGAGUCCCUGAGUCCUUUAUCACUCCCAAACCGUCAACUUCUCCUAAGCCUAAGCAUUUUUCGGAUCUUGUGAAUCACAUCCAGCUUGACCUUCCAGAGCCCCUGGUUGAUGGAGCAAUGAAAGAACUUAUAACGAUGAAGACCGCACAACAGUAAAGAAAUUAAAGACCUUGUGGCUGAGUCCCCGCAAUGAUUCGUAUAAGUGUGGUCAACUAGCCCAAGCCGAUCAACGAGUUCCCCAAAAUUGUUAACAAUUGCCUUGUUAACAACAAUAAGGCCACCUCUGGAAACAUGACAGCCUGUCUUGUCAGCUGUAUGUCCUGUAAAGGAGCUAACCUGAACUACCAUGACGACAACGAGCCAUUGAUUGAUCAGGACAGUGACAUUUGUACGGUGUUGUUCGGUGCAGCAAGAAAACUGGACUUCAUAAGGAACGACAACAACUCUUCAGGCAGGAAAGGUACCCCUUCUUCCCCAGAAUUAUCUGUGCCAGCGGCAGACAAGUCUCUCAAUAUCAUGAAGGCUGGUUGUCAAUCCAGACUACUGCAUAGAGUUCCUCCGGGCCCUGAGAGUGGUUUUUUUUUAGAGUGGUGUUAGAUACAUGGUCUUUCCUUUAGGAACCUAACUGACCCACACCACUGACCACUCCUACCUCUUCUCCUCAUCAUCCUCCCCCUCCUAACACUGGCCCCCCUAAGAAGAAGAUCAUACUCCUCGCUGGAGAUACUUUGAGCGACUGGAAAUAGAAAAACCCGGGUAAACAGACAGUUUUCAAAGUCGCUAUAAAGGGUGGUCGCAAGACUGAUGCUGUAUUACACUCAAUCGAGCAAUUUGUGAGAGACCACCCUGAUUUAGAGAUUAAGAAACUGUUUGUGUGUGUAGGGACAAACGACAUACGAUACUGUCAGACUGGCAUUAUACACCUUAAUAGCCCUCUGCAGAACUUUCAACUUUAUGUCCAAAAUUAAAGCCUUAGCUCCCUCAGCAAAUAUCUUUGUCCAGUCCCUCCUCCCUAUACCUGCUAAUGGUAACCCCAAAGGAGAACAAAAUGUGGUCUCUAUCACUAUAAACAAAUUACUCUUUAGUCUUUGUUCCAAAUUUAAAUUAUUUUACCUUGAUGUCUUCAGUAGUUUCCUUAGUUCAUUGGGCGACAGGAACUACCAGUUAUUUCCUAAGUAUAGUUUAUACUCGAAGAAGUGGGAUAUUCACCCCAAUGCUAGGGGUAUGGGUGUGUUAGCAAGACACUAUAUCUUUAUCAUUCACUCAACAUGGUUUAAUCUGUUGGGUUACUGAGAUCGGUAUAAGUAUGAUUCAUAUUUUUUUAGAUAAAUUAUUUUAAUGAUGUAUUAAAAAGUAAAUUCUGAGUUAUAGAUACACCUGGGUAAAACACGACCAUGACAUUGCUACACAUGGGAAUAAAUGACCAGCAACACUGCAUAUGAACCGGGAAGUUUAAUUCUGCUGCUUGAUAAGUUUGUGGUAAAAGAGAAAAGUCUGCUACGUGUCUGUGUUGUCCAAGUUAUGUUCAUCCAUUGGAUUAUUUGUCAGUUCACUAAUUGUAGAUAUUAUACUAACCUACAUAAGUUAAAUUGUCUCGCAGUCUCGUGCGUAAACGAGGAUUUGAUUAGGAAAACUUAUACGAAGGAGAUAUAGGUCAUGAAUUAAUAUGAUAAUGAAUAUAUUACACGUCCUCUUAAUUUAGGUAGCACGACAUCUGUCCGACAGUACUAUUUUCUUGUGUUUGAAGUGAUGUCUCAAAUUUGGCACAUAGAAACUCGCUCAAACUUACACGGAUUAUCCGUCCUAAAACCACCAUACUUUAUGGAAAGUUUCAAGAAAAUCGUACAGUAGGAUAUGAAUGAACUACUGUCCGAAUAACCUAUUUUCUGAGUAUGACAGAUGUCGCAUAAUCAGUUUAAUGUGGUUACCGUCUCUAAAGUUGACACGAGAGUUAUUAAUUUCCUACCUAAUAUUAUUCGAAGUCAAUCCUGUAAACUGAUACUCCUUUUUUAGUAAAUUAUA